rnacentral:lncRNA from 1 species
UCAUGCUCCUAGAACCCUCUGGUGGAAUGCUGAUGAGGGGCUGGCCUGGGUGCAUUGUGCACGAAUGACUCUCUUAAAGCAAAGAUCAAAGUUGCUUUUCUAAAAUGGAACACUAAAAGGUGUGCUUCCUGAGGUUGACUUCAGAUCGAUGUGGAUGUACACUUGGACCAAGUUCUACAUUAGGAACACUUUAAGUGAUUGAUCUAGAGGUGCCCCUGCUGUGAAAAUGGAAAGAAAUGUAAUGUUUUGGUCAUGGGAGAGCUGCCAAUUCCACAGUACCAGCA